rnacentral:rRNA from 1 species
GACGAACGCUGGCGGCGUGCCUAAUACAUGCAAGUAGAACGCACAGUUUAUACCGUAGCUUGCUACACCAUAGACUGUGAGUUGCGAACGGGUGAGUAACGCGUAGGUAACCUGCCUGGUAGCGGGGGAUAACUAUUGGAAACGAUAGCUAAUACCGCAUAAUAUUGAUUAUUGCAUGAUAAUUGAUUGAAAGAUGCUAUUGCAUCACUACCAGAUGGACCUGCGUUGUAUUAGCUAGUAGGUGAGGUAACGGCUCACCUAGGCGAAGAUACAUAGCCGACCUGAGAGGGUGAUCGGCCAAACUGGGACUGGGACACGGCCCAGACUCCUACGGGAGGCAGCAGGAGGGGAACUUCGGAAAUGGAGGGAAGUCUGACCGAGCAACGCCGCGGGAGUGAAGAAGGGUUUCGGAUCGUAAAGCUCGGUUGUAAGAGAAGAACGUGUGUGAGAGUGGAAAGGUCACACUGUGACGGUAUCUGAACAGAAAGGGACGGCUAACUACGUG